AUCGAUGGAAAUUUAGUUUUUCGAUAUAUCGAUGGAAAUUUGCCGAUGUCGAUAUAUCGACGCUUCAGAAAAAGUUGAGAAGUUCCGCAUCGAACGAAACCAGGCAACUUACCUCUUGUUCUAUCUGGCAGUUCCUCAUUAAAAAUGGACAAAUUUGUCGCUACAUCAAAAAAAAAUUCUGCUUGCUCUUCACCAACGCCUUCUAAUAUAACUGAUGACGCUGCUGUUGCAGAACCCGAUCAUAAGUGAAAAAAAUGCGUGUCGGAAGUUUGGUCUCAUUUUGACCGAUCAAAAAAUAAAAUGUUUGCCAAAUGUCGACAUUCCCAAAGAGAAUACCGCACAAGUGGCAAUACAUCUAACUUGAUGGAACAUCUAAGACGAGUCCACCCACUUGUUAAUAACGAACAGAGGAGUACCAAUACAGUGAAGCAAUUGUUUGCUCGCAGCGAAUGUUACGGCUCCACAUCGACCAAGAAGGCACAGAUUGACAAGUCUCUUGCUCGCAUGGUGGUACUUGACUUGCAGUCUUUUAGCAUAGUCGAAAAUGUCGGCUUUAGGCAUUUUGUACGAACAUUAGAUGAAAAAUAUGUUUUGCCAAGCCGACCAUAUCUGAAAGACGUUCUGUUAAAAAAUAUGUACGAGGAUUCGUUGCAGAAGCUUAAAGUUAUAUUAAAUGCAAUUGAUUUUUGCUUAUUAACGACCGAUACUUGGACAUCCCGAGCCAAUGUAAAUUACCUUACAGUGACAUGUCAUUUUAUAGACAAUUUUAAACUGAGUUCUGCUGUAUUGUCUACGCUCCCUCUUGUUGACCAAACGAAUCACAACAUUGAAAAUAUUGCCACAACACUGCGAAGAAUGGGCUAUAUUUGACAAAAUUCAAACUAUUAUCACAGAUAAUGCAUCGUCUAUGAUACGAGCAUUUGAUAUUUUGAAGAAAAAGCACUUGCCAUGUUUCGCUCAUACCUUAAAUCUUUUUGUGCAAGACGUUUUGGCUAAAAAUAAUGUGAAGCAAAUAUUACAAGUCGUUAAACGCAUUGUUACAUUCAUUAAGAGCAGCUCAAUCGCCAAUACCAAGUUUAUGAAAGCUCAGGCCACCGAUAAUCCUCUUAAGUUGUUGCAAGAGGUGCCAACAAGAUGGAAUAGCUCAUUUUAUAUGCUGCAACGGGUCCUACGUACGAGGGAAGUUGUUACCUAAUAUGAUCACAGCAGUUGGCGCGGAAACCUGUUCAUUUUUAAUGAACUCGGUGAAAAAGAGGCUAUACCCUUACGAGAAUCGGUCUGGCCCAAGACUUGGAACCCUUCUUGAUGCUCGCUUCAAAAAGGAGGGAUUCCAAAAUGCAGGAAAUGCACAACAAGCUGCAUUAGCACUAGAAGAAGAGUUGUGCAGCUUUAAAGAUUAUGCGACAAAACCCAACAAUGAGGAACUGCCAAAGGAGAACAGAUCACCAUUUUUAUUCAAAUUUGUGGAGCAAAAAAUUUGUGAUAAAGUAUCAAAUCGCCGGGCGGAUGCGAUUGUAAUGCUGCGACAGUACAUGGAGCAACGCAAUGCAUCUCACGAUACCGAUCCGCUUCAGUACUGAAAGAUUAAUGAACAUCAAUUAAAUGCCCUUAGUCGCUGUGCCUUAAAAUUCUUGUCAAUCCCGGAUAGCUCCGUAGAGUCAGAACGCAUUUUAGUAAGGCAGGGGCGAUUAUCACGGACCGCCGGAGUUCCUUAAAGGAAAAGCACGUUAACCAAAUAAUUUUUUUGAAUAAGAAUCAAUGGUUGGAAAAAUACGAACAUUAAUGAAGAUUUUAAACCAAACAUAGAUCUCUUAGACUAAGUACAU